rnacentral:rRNA from 1 species
UAGGGAAUCUUCCACAAUGGGCGCAAGCCUGAUGGAGCAACACCGCGUGAGUGAAGAAGGGUUUCGGCUCGUAAAGCUCUGUUGUUAAAGAAGAACACGUAUGAGAGUAACUGUUCAUACGUUGACGGUAUUUAACCAGAAAGUCACGGCUAACUACGUGCCAGCAGCCGCGGUAAUACGUAGGUGGCAAGCGUUAUCCGGAUUUAUUGGGCGUAAAGAGAGUGCAGGCGGUUUUCUAAGUCUGAUGUGAAAGCCUUCGGCUUAACCGGAGAAGUGCAUCGGAAACUGGAUAACUUGAGUGCAGAAGAGGGUAGUGGAACUCCAUGUGUAGCGGUGAAAUGCGUAGAUAUAUGGAGGAACACCGGUGGCGAAAGCGGCUCUCUGGUCUGUAACUGACGCUGAGGCUCGAAAGCGUGGGGAGCGAACAGGAUUAGAUACCCUGGUAGUCCACGCCGUAACGAUGAGUGCUAGGUGUUGGAUCCUUUCCGGGAUUCAGUGCCGCAGCUAACGCAUUAAGCACUCCGCCUGGGGAGUACGACCGCAAGGUU